AACUCUCUCUCUCUCUCUCUCUCUCUCUCUCUCACACACACACACACACACACACACAGAGAGAGAGAGAGAGAGAGAGAGAGAGAGAGAU